AAAAACUUAGUUAAAAUAUAACAUUAGUUUGUCAAACUAAAAUUAUUUAUAAAUAGUUUUUU
rnacentral:tRNA from 1 species